rnacentral:rRNA from 1 species
UACGUAGGGACCGAGCGUUGUCCGGAAUCACUGGGCGUAAAGGGCGCGUAGGCGGAUCUUUAAGUCGGGGGUGAAAGCCUGAGGCUCAACCUCAGAAUUGCCUUCGAUACUGGAGAUCUUGAGACCGGAAGAGGUGAGUGGAACUGCGAGUGUAGAGGUGAAAUUCGUAGAUAUUCGCAAGAACACCAGUGCGAAGGCGGCUCACUGGUCCGGUUCUGACGCUGAGGCGCGAAAAGCGUGGGGAGCAAACAGG